rnacentral:rRNA from 1 species
GUGCCAGCAGCCGCGGUAAUACGUAGGGUGCGAGCGUUAAUCGGAAUUACUGGGCGUAAAGCGUGCGCAGGCGGUUUUGUAAGACAGACGUGAAAUCCCCGGGCUCAACCUGGGAAUGGCGUUUGUGACUGCAAAGCUGGAGUGCGGCAGAGGGGGAUGGAAUUCCGCGUGUAGCAGUGAAAUGCGUAGAUAUGCGGAGGAACACCGAUGGCGAAGGCAAUCCCCUGGGCCUGCACUGACGCUCAUGCACGAAAGCGUGGGGAGCAAACAGGAUUAGAUACCCUAGUAGUCC